CUGCCACAGCGUGAUAAAAGCUACCCCUCGUGCACAGACGCCUGGGUUAUUUUUAGCUUCCGAAGAGCAGUUGUUUCUCUCGGGUAUUCUGGUUAGUACCUCCCUGCAACUUCAGGGAAGACUCUUCUGAACAGCUUGGGCUGUAAUAAAUGUAACACGAGGUGACAUUUACCAACAGACUUUCCUACCCCACGCUGAGAACCUUUGAAGCUGCCCAGCCUUAGAAGUUGGGGCAGUAACGCAAAGCAAAUCUCACUUCUGUCCCUGAAGGAUUCCCAGCACCACUGUAAUUGCAAGACCCAGACCUCCCCUCUUCUAAGCUCGCAAAGGUCUAUAAAGACAACCAGCUCUCAGUCGGGCAGCAAAACGGCCCCCUCUCACCUCCUUCCCUCUGACAGCCUUGGAAGCCGUCCUAGUCUCUGUGGCUGGCACCUCCAGCGUACUGGGGGAAAGGGGAACCACGUGCCUGGCCCUUGGCCGAGAGGUGCUGCAGAAAGCGAUUCUGCAAAUCCCAGGGAGCACGGGAAGCUACCACAGAGCCGCUUUGUGCUACCAGAGCACACCAGAGGUGACCACCCAGCAUCCAGAGAGAGCAGACAGCUCAAAGGGGGCAGGGUCUGCUGCAUCUAGUCCAGAGAUCAGGGGCUUCUGACUCAUGUAUUUAAAGAUCUGCUCCUUCAGAAGUGGAAGUUCUCUGUGUCCUGGAGAACAGGUGAGGUGUCUGAAAACUGGAAGAUAGCCAAUGCCACUCUGGUCUUCAAGAACAGCAGGAAGGAGGAUCCGGGAAACUACAGGCCAUUCAGUCUCACUUCUGUCCCUGGAAAGGGUGCCCGUUUAUGGAUGCGUGAGGGGAAGAUGGCCAACAAUGAUUUCUUUCUUUCAAAUUAUCUCCCUGAAACUGUAACUGUAACUUCUAGUAGUGUAAAGGCUUUUGACUUGUGUAUUGUGAAAACAGCAUUCCUUUUACGAACAGCACGUUCUCACAAUUAACACUUCGCAAAAGUAGUGAUAACACCACCAGUAUCUACCCAAAUCUGUUUCUUCUUACCACAAAGCAAGGUCUGAAUUCACAGUAAAGCACCUUUUACAUAGGUUGUUCAAUCUUCAGAAAUACUUAAAAACCUUCUUCAAAGUGAGCCUUACCUGCAUGCACUUGAGCUUCAGAGGUUGGUUUUCUAUUUUUAUUUUUUUUAAUAAUUAAGUUUUAGGGCUGGGAAGUAAGCUUAGAAUCCGUGUAAGUAGCUUCACUGAAAGCAGACAAGGUGAAGGAAGUACUCAAACUCCCCAACAUGAAACAACUGUAGAACCCAGGAAC